AUUGAACGCUGGCGGAAUGCUUUACACAUGCAAGUCGAACGGCAGCACGGGUGCUUGCACCUGGUGGCGAGUGGCGAACGGGUGAGUAACAUAUCGGAACGUAUCCAAUAAUGGGGGAUAACUAAUCGAAAGGUUGGCUAAUACCGCAUACGCCCUACGGGGAAAAGCUAGGGACCUUCGGGCCUGGCGUUACUGGAGCGGCCGAUAUCUGAUUAGCUAGUUGGUGGGGUAAUGGCCUACCAAGGCGACGAUCAGUAGCUGGUCUGAGAGGACGACCAGCCACACUGGAACUGAGACACGGUCCAGACUCCUACGGGAGGCAGCAGUGGGGAAUUUUGGACAAUGGGCGCAAGCCUGAUCCAGCCAUUCCGCGUGAGUGAAGAAGGCCUUCGGGUUGUAAAGCUCUUUCGCAAGGGAAGAAAACUUAUCCUCUAACAUAGGAUGAGGUUGACGGUACCUUGAUAAGAAGCACCGGCUAACUACGUGCCAGCCGCCGCCGUAACAC
rnacentral:rRNA from 1 species